rnacentral:rRNA from 1 species
CGUGGCGGCGUGCCUAACACAUGACAAGUCGAACGAGAAAGUUGGCUUCGGCCGAUGAGUAAAGUGGCGCACGGGUGAGUAACGCGUGGAUAAUCUGCCCUUUAGUUUGGAAUAACGUACCGAAAGGUGCGCUAAUACCGGAUAAUACUGAAUGACUACUGUCGUUUAGUCAAAGAAGGCUUCUGUUUACAUGCUUUUGCUGAAGGAUGAGUCCGCGUACCAUUAGCUAGUUGGUAGGGUAAUGGCCUACCAAGGCGACGAUGGUUAGCUGGUCUGAGAGGAUGAUCAGCCACACUGGAACUGAGACACGGUCCAGACUCCUACGGGAGGCAGCAGUGAGGAAUAUUGCGCAAUGGGGGCAACCCUGACGCAGCAACGCCGCGUGAGUGAGGAAGGUUUUCGGACCGUAAAGCUCUGUCGAGCGGGAAGAAAUGCAUGGUGGCUAAUAUCCAUCAUGCUUGACGGUACCGCUAAAGGAAGCACCGGCUAACUCCGUG